AUUUCAUGAUGAGGACAACUAGCACAUAACUUCUUGAAUCUUUCCCAAUACUCAUACAAAGUCUCCUCAUUGUACUAGCAAAUACCACAAAUUUAUUUCCUAAUAAG